rnacentral:rRNA from 1 species
GACGAACGCUGGCGGCGUGCUUAACACAUGCAAGUCGAACGGAAAGGCCCUGCUUUUGUGGGGUGCUCGAGUGGCGAACGGGUGAGUAACACGUGAGUAACCUGCCCUUGACUUUGGGAUAACUUCAGGAAACUGGGGCUAAUACCGGAUAGGAGCUCCUGCUGCAUGGUGGGGGUUGGAAAGUUUCGGCGGUUGGGGAUGGACUCGCGGCUUAUCAGCUUGUUGGUGGGGUAGUGGCUUACCAAGGCUUUGACGGGUAGCCGGCCUGAGAGGGUGACCGGCCACAUUGGGCCUGAGAUGCGGCCCAGCCUCCUCCGGGACGCAGCAGUGGGGUAUAUUGCACAAUGGGCGGAAGCCUGAUGCAGCAACGCCGCGUGCGGGAUGACGGCCUUCGGGUUGUAAACCGCUUUCGCCUGUGACGAAGCGUGAGUGACGGUAAUGGGUAAAGAAGCACCGGCUAACUACGUG